rnacentral:sRNA from 2 species
UCCUACACGAAGAGAUAAGGGAACCCGGACGUUGUGUUUUGGUGUGAAGGCCUGCUGCGUGCAGGAAUCCUAAAAAUACACACAGGGUACCCACCUGUAUUUACAGGG